UCGACUGGACUUGGCUUUUUCGUACCAACUCGUACAUCAAUAACUAAUGAGUGAAAUUAGUAAUCGGAUGACAAUAUUAGUCAAAUAAAUAAAAUUAAUAGUCAAAUGAUUUCAAAAAGAUUUGAAUUUUCCGAAUGAAUUGUUCAAUCGUAUAAUUAGUAGUCCGAUUAGUAAAUCGCACUGUUUACUGUGGACAAUUGGGGAACAGUGGAACACGGGGCACUAUGGAACAAUGUCGAUAAUUUUUUUAAUUUCAAACUAAUUCGCGCGCUACCGCUUUGACCAAUCGCAGUGCGUCCUGCGCCAUACGAAGACGUAGUGAAAUAUGACGACGCGACAACAGUGGAGUUGUGAAUAGAAAAAUAUUGGUUUUUAUGUUCAAAAGUUAAGAUUUUUUUUCAAAGUACUUUCGUUUUUAGUA
rnacentral:lncRNA from 1 species